CUUUCUGAAACUCACCUGAGACUCGACCGUCAUGAUGAGACUGAGCUCCUGCUGGACUCUCCAGGAAGGGUGAUUCUGAUGAAAACAUUAAGGGAUAAAUAUUAGCUGGACUAGUUUGAGAAUAUUUGCCCCUAACAGAAGAGCUUUAAGUCAGGCAGAAACUUUAAUUUUGAUCUUAUCUAAAUAUUUAUAUGGCAUCCAAUUACUGUGAUAUCCAGGGGGCUGAACAUAGGAAUACAACUGAGCUGAUGAAGUGGAAAAAAGUGAUAUUACUUUGAUCAGUAUCAUGGGAUAGCAGCAGCAGCAGUAGAAGUCGGCCAAAAUUAGGAGUGCAACAGGUCUUCUGAUAAAAAGACCCAGUUGGCUGUAGAAACAAUCCCCAGAUAAUGGUAAGAGACCAAUGCCUGAGAAGUCCAGCACCCAGACAGACUGUCGAGAGGAGGUGGCAUCUGAAAAGGAUCUGAGGCGGUGAUGUUCCCUCUCCUGUCAGAUUACAGAUUGGAUAUUGGCGAAAAGUGGACGAACACAAUACAAAUGGGGACUUUUCUUCAAGCAGGAGCUGAAAUCCUCCAUGUCUCACUCCUCUGGGAGAGAUUCCUGCCACUCGGAAAGAAAGCAAAGAUGGCAAUGUGACUGGGGACCCCCAACUCCACCUACUACUUCCACACGAAUGCUCGAUAUAAUCAUCUGUCUUAUGAACAGCAAAAGUUUUUCCAGAAAUGGGUGGUGUUUGGUUUGGUUUUUUUGGUAUUUGGUAUUAUAGGGUUCUUCAGAGUCUGUGUGUGGUUCUCCUGCCCAAGAACUAUCCUCCUUUCAUGCUCUCUUUCCCAGGAUUUACUGUGUGAUGAGGGCAGAGCCAAAACCACACGCCAUUUUGAAGUAGCUAAUUCCCCAGUCUGUUUCAAGGUUUGAGGCUUGCUUGCUGGUCUUGGACACUCUCUAUUGUUCCUUCUGUUCUGAGGAUUAGUUUUUAGUGAUCACCUGUAUCUAAGACUCAUUUGAAUAUUUAGGACAUAAUUAAGCAGGGGUAGAUAAAUAACUACCCUAGUGUUAAUACUUGGAUAGCAAAGAAAGCAGUCUCCUCCACACAAUGGCCUGUCCUCAAAUCUCAAGUCUGGAAAUACAAGCGCAAUUAGACGUUGUUUGAUUUUGUUUGUUUGUUUGUUCAUUGUUUGUUCGUAACCUGUAUUAGGGACUGAUCCAAAGCACACUUGGAGUCAAUAGAAAGACUCCCAUUGACGUCAGUGGGCAUUGGAUCAAGCCCUUGUUGUACAUCUGUUUUCUUGUUCCAUAAUAAAAGCUUUGAUCAGCUAUAGAACAGUUUGGAAUGCUUCUGGGAGAGCCUGGAUGUGGUACUCAAGGACUGUGCUGUUCACUGUCUUGCUCCUGACUGAAGGUUGAUCUGAGGGCCCUACAGAGCUAAAGCCAGGGACCUCUACAACCUGAACUAAAGGAUCAAGUCCCGUAGCUAGCAGCUGGAACAGAUUCAUAGCCUUUGUGACUUGAAGACGGGAGCAGGGAUGCAUAACACACAGUGAACAGUGGGUUGCACUAUGAUACUUCAUCUUGGAGUGAUUUAUUGAAAUCACUCUAAUUUUUUCUCCCUCAAUUCCACAUCCUUUCUUUGAAUUGCCACGUCUUUUUGCUCUAUUUUUCUA